AGUGAACGCUGGCGGUAGGCCUAACACAUGCAAGUCGAACGAGUGGCGGACGGGUGAGGAAUACAUCGGAAUCUACUCUGUGGUGGGGGAUAACGUAGGGAAACUUACGCUAAUACCGCAUACGAUUGGAUGAGCCGAUGUCGGAUUAGCUAGUUGGGGGGGUAAAGGCUCACCAAGGCGACGAUCCGUAGCUGGUCUGAGAGGAUGAUCAGCCACACUGGAACUGAGACACGGUCCAGACUCCGACGGGAGGCAGCAGUGGGGAAUAUUGGACAAGGGGCGCAAGCCUGAUCCAGCCAUACCGCGUGGGUGAAGAAGGCCUUCGGGUUGUAAAGCACUUUAAGUUGGGAGGCGUUACCAACAGAAUAAGCACCGGCUAACUUCGUGCCAGCCGCCGCGGUAAUAC
rnacentral:rRNA from 1 species